AGUCCCUGGAGUUCCCAGCCAAGCCACAGACCUGCCUCUGAGGAAGGGAAUCGAGCAGGGAGUAGGAGGGGACCUCUGGGGACUCGGGCCUGGAGCUCCUGCCUGCCUGGAUGAAGAGGAGGUCAAGACUUUGUCCCCCACUCCGCAAGAUACCCUCUCUGUUCCGGAGCGGUGGGUCCCUCCCCUGUUAGGACCUUGUCUCCCUCAGGACUGGACCUGGAUCCUGGGCCUGCAGUCAGAUUGCCAGUUUCACUUAGAGGUGGAAAUGUCAACCCACUGGUUGGAAUGGGAAGAGACUGGGUCCCACCAUAUUGCCUGGGCUGGCCUCGGACUCUUGACCCCAAGUGAUCCUCUGGCCUCAGCCUCCCAAGCAGCUGGAUUUACAGGCAGGCACCACCGCACCGAGCUAAAAACGCCUGGCUUCCCUGGGCCUGCUGCACCUGCUCUGGCUAGGUUGGAGAGGGCUGCAGGGAGGACCGCAGUCAGCAGAGGGCGCCAAAGCCUCUCAACACAAGCAUGGCCCAGGCCUGGCCCAGAAGGAGAGCGCUGAGAGCCAGGACUGGCGGGCUACGUGCGCCCUGUGGAUUCCCCCAUUUCCCAUGCUUCAUCCAGCCAUGGGCCUGCAGUGCACUCACAAAUGUGCAUAUACCCUCCUGUGUGUGUGUUACACUCAUCAAAUUGUCUCUGAAUUUGCUUGGCUUCAUGUGUUCCUGUGUGUGUUUAUGUGUGUGUGUGGUGUGUCUGGUGUAUCUGGUUCCCCAGGAA
rnacentral:lncRNA from 10 species